GCCCCCUCCUCUCUGGAGUAGGACACAUGGCACCCAAGAGCCACAUGGAGAUGAGAGCCAAGGCCGGCUAAGGCGCAGCACUGUCCUGCCUCACGCUGGCUACUAUUGUACUGUACUGAAAAGCGCUAUGGCUGCUUCUGAAACUCAACUGCUGCUGGCAUGAGUGGCUUCCUCUGCCUCCACUCAAUCGCAGAGUGCGUCCUUGGAUGGUCCUGAUACACAAUGGCUAAAAGAACAAGGAGAGGAGAUAACCAAGUUUCAGCCUCAAAAAGAUGACCCACCAGCAUUCAACCUCUUCCCUAUGUGGAGGGCGCUAGGUCCAAGUGAGACCACGGCACAUUCGAUGCUGUUUAUCAACACCCGACGCUGGUGACUUCUGAUGCCAUCCUUGAAGACACAGUGUUCUGGCUGAUGGAGGCUCUGCUGGCUUCUCAGAGCCACAGAAACGGGGCAAUCUUCUUGGCUGUGAUCUGAAAAAACCCACAUACGUUCUGUACGGAAACAGACUGUUUAAUAGUGGGAGGGAAAACCCAACAUGAAAUAUAAAACAAGUAAUCAUGCGCCUUGUGA
ensembl:lncRNA novel transcript, antisense to NUP214